AUACAACUCUCAGCAACGGAUAUCUUGGCUCUUGCAACGAUGAAGAACGCAGCA
rnacentral:rRNA from 1 species